GUUAAAGCCAAGAUUUAUACUCCCAUGACUCUGUCGACAGUGCUUCUCCCUAAAGAUGUUGCCUGGCCUGCUGCGUACCACCAGCAUUUUGUGUGUGUUGCUUGAAUUUCCAGCAUCUACACAUUUCCUCGUGUUUGCUUUAUACUCCCAUUUCCGUUUACAACAUAAAAGAUAGACUGAAAUUUUUUGACCGUAUAGUUGCAUUUUCAUUUGUGACACAGAUAUUCAUAAUUAAAAAUAACUUUAUGGGACUUUUCAUUAGAUUGAUCUACACUGUAUAUAUUGCAAAAGCAAACAUGCAAAUAAGUAAAAAAAAAACAAUGUGUCCACCAAUUGCUGACGUUCUUACAGCGAAUAGCCAAUGUGCAUUUUACAGUCGCUUGUUUUAAUUCUAGAAUAACAUGGCAUUUUACUCACAGCUUUGCUGAAGUGCCAACGUAUUCAACCUAACAGUCAUAUGUAAGAAUUGGAGCUUUCUUAUCUAAUUAUCAGCAUAACCCAUAAUAAACUCCUUCUUCGUCCAUUUCUGCACUCAAAUGUAUCAAUUUAUGUCUAUCAUUCCUUGUAGUCGGCAAUUUGCAGAAUUUAGUCAUUGUUUCUUUAGAAGUGACCUCCUGUGCCCCUCCCCCAACUGCCUCUUCCCAGUGUCCAAACAGCUCCUUCCUGAAUCAGAGUGUAGAUUGGUAUCACAGCCCCUAGUCUAGAUGAAAGGUAAUAUUGUGUUCAGUUCUGGUCGCCUCAUAUUUGGAAGGAAGUGGAAGCUUUAGAAAGGUUGCGGAAGAGAUUUACCAGGGUUAUGCCUGAAUUGGAGUCUUGAAGUAGGCAUUGUUUUGCAAAGAACAGAACCAUUUCAAAUGCUCAAUCUUUUGCCUGCUAUUUCUUGGUUGUAUAGUUUUACAUAGCAGUGUAGGUUUUCGCAAAUAAAAUGGCAGAGGCGUUUUAAGUUUAAGAGACACCAUAUCAACUCCCUUUAUUAUCAACCAAACACAGAGCAUAAAGUGCGGUUAAAACUUCACGUUGUUACAUCAUCACGUCAGACCAGCCUCUUAAAGUGAACCCCAACUGAAUGUGGGUGGUUGUGAAUUAUGCGUCUGUUAUAUUACUCUACACAGAAACCCCCAGAAUUCAGCACAGCCGGCAAUGUGAGCCUCCCUGGAGCUUGGGCGAGCCGCCCAGCUCAGGUCCCAUGCUCCAUGACUAGAGUAACAGCAGGCGCCUCCGGCUCUCUGGAGGUGUGUGGACACACUCCUGAUCAUGACGUGACACCAGGGACGUGGUAAUGGGACCCUCCAACUUUUGGUGGGCCAAAAUACAUUCAGGUUUACUCCUCCUAUCGAUGAUAAAAGGCUUUUGUCUCCUUUCUGAAGUGCAGAAUGGGCCAUCAUAAGGGAGCUUAUGGAGAUGUUGUUGUGCUGAUGAAAUUGUAGAUGAAAUUGCAGAUGAAAGUGAACGAGGUGGACUGUAGGUCAACAGGACACCAUGAUGGGAGGUAGGAAGAGGUGCAAAGGAAUUGAAUUUUCUGAAGAGGGCAGAAUGCUGCUGACCAGGUGGCUGUGGCUUCAGGAGCAAAAUCACCUGGUGCGCGUAAUGACUGCCUGCAUACCAUCUCAGCUAUGCAGAUCUUUUUUUAGAGCUGUUCUGGGCCCCAGCAGGACCCACGGGAGACGAUCAUGCCAAAACUUAUCAGAGUAGCCUUUACGGAUCUGUGAAACUACUCACACAGGCCUUGGACUGCGGGUGAUACACCACGGUGUGAUGUAGCCUAACGCCGAGGUUGUGGGCCAUCGCAGCCCCGAGGUCUGAUAAGAAUUGGGGACCACGGUCAGAGGAAAUAUCAGAUGUGUUGCCAAACCGAACACCUCAGAACAUGUGUCUGUGCCACAUCUGCGGCCAUCGUCAAUGCUAGAGGAAUGGCCUUUGGCCAGCCGGUGCUACGGUCCACAAUGGUAAGGAGAUGCGUGAAACCACAGGAGGGGUGAAGAGGACCAUCCAGGUUGCACAGGGAUCUGAUAAGGUGCUCGUGGUACCUGAACGUGACAGUUAAUUUUUGCCCACUGGCACUCAACUUGGCUGCACUCCAAUCACACAGGUCUUUUCUAAGGUCGUGCCACGCAAACUUUAGUGCAAACAGUUUCUGUAAGGCCUUCCAGCCGGAUGCGAAGAUCUGUGAAUGGAGUUAAAAGCGGUCUGCCUCCAUCUUGCGGGCAUUAUGGGCUGAGGGCGUCCGGCUGAGGCCUUGCUCAGGAGAGAGACCCCAGCUUCCUUGAGCUUAACGUCAGUCAUCCACGGGCCCGUGACUGCUGUUCAGGAAGCCUGGACCUCUGGGUCAGUAGUUUGGCCGGCUGCCAUGCUGGCAUAGUCAACCUGGGAAGAGUUAGUAGUAAUGGCUUCUAGGUGUGUUGGGGAGCAGGUAUAGGGUCAUGUUGGAACGAGCUCGCUUGGUGUCAUGAAAUACUCUGGUCAUGUCUACUCUCAGUCAGGCACGCAAUUAGGAACAUUGCCUUUAAGGACACUAUACAGGGAGAGAAUAAGUUCAGCGGCUGAAUGAAGCGGUGAUAGAAAUUUACCAUACCUUAAAACUCUUGUACUUUUGUAGUAGUGCUGGAUGGUGGGAAAUCCAUAAUUGCAGUGACUUUCCAUGGGAGGGGUUUACAACUACUGCAGAGAUGUGAGGACUGAGAAAGUCAAUGGUUGACAACCCAGACUGCAUUUAGCAGGAUUAAUAAGCAAGAUGUGAAGGCUUAAGCGCUUGAAAAGUGUGCUAGGAUGUGAUACGUGUUUGGAUUUUGAGGUACUGGUGACAAGUAUAUCAUCCAGGUAAACGAAAAGAAAAUCUAAGUCUUUUAGUACAGAGUCGAUCAGCUGUUGGAAAGUUUGUGCUGCAUUCUUCAGGCUAAAUGGCAUGCGGAGAAACUCAGAGGCCAAGCGGUGCUAUUGUCGUGGUUUCUCCUGCCCCACAAACGACCAGGAGAUGCAGAAGAUUCUUCAAGAAGGGUUAAACUUUGAUUUGCAAAUUAAAGUUCAAUACUUCCUGAAGAAUCCCCCGAGCCUCCUGGUCACCCGCGGGGCACGAGAAACCACGACAAAAUUGGCGACCGCAGCAGGACCGGAAAGGGACCCGCGGAAAGGAAACGGCAGAUUGGGGACGCUUCCUAGUCCUCUAGGGACCCCCACAAGGCUAACAGAAUAAAGGGCGCACCCAAACAAAAGGUAAGCGCUUUUUGCGACAAUUUGGACUAAGAAUUCUGUUGGUUUUGGGGAGGUCUUGGAGUCUCAGAAGUGUGGAACCACUGCAAAGGGUCUCUCCAGUCCAAAGAAUCUAGCAGAAUUGGGGGUUAACAGGAGGCUCAGAGGAUUGAUCAAAAACACUGCAGUGAGGGUAAGUACAAAUAAGUUAAUAAGAAGUUAAGUUAAGAAAAAUUCCACGUGGUGUUGGUAAAUCUCUAUGGAUACCGCUUCAUAUAAAACGAAGGUCUGAAUGGGCAGGGAAAGGGAAAAUAGAGAAAAUCCUCGUGGAAACCACCUUAAGAGAUAUAGGUCUGAAUAGACAAGGUGCAAAGAGCAAGUUCUGUGGAUACAGCUCUGAAUAGAGGUCUGUACGGGCAGAACAGAAUAGGAAACAAGGACAGUCCAAUAUAUAGUUUAAAACGCUGGUAGAUAGACGAUAGACUAGGCAUAGAAUUAGAGUAAAUAAAAUUAUCCAGUAAACGAACUGUGAAUCUCUGGAAUACCUUAAAAAGAGAGAACAACAUGACAGGUAAAGGAACGGCAGUAGAGAUUCUGAGCAAAAAAUCCUGGUAAAUAAAUAUGAGAUCACAAAAACUUCAGAAAAAUGGGAAAAGAGAACCAAAAACCUGGUCACAAAAUGGCCAAGAGAAGGAACGUUUGAUGUAAGCUUGUGCGAAGAAAUGGAGGCACUAAUUAAAAAUUACAAACCAAAAGAUAAAUCUAAGAAAAGAGGGCAAAAAAGAGAACGAGAAAUGGAAGUGCUAAAACUCUUCAGAACAGAGGGAGAAAGGCUGAGGAGGACAGGGAGAAUAUUGAUUACAAGCGAGGAAGACACUAAGGUGCUGGAGAAACAGCCUGUUAGAGAGAGAGGAAGGUAUGGUGAGAAGCUGGCUUCAGCUCCGUACCCGGAUGCGACAGAAACAGAAAAGCCCCCUCCCUAUAAUGAGGAAGGAACCCUUAAGCAUUGCCCCUUGCUGACAGGAACAGUAAACAUGCAGGGAGAAGUACAAGUUUGGGAUAAUGAGGAGGAAAAAAACAAUACAAGAAGGAAAAAAAACAAUACGAGAAGGAAAAAGUGGUGAUAUGGAAGGAGAUACAGGCAGAAAGGAUAAAGGUGGAACAUGCAAAGAGAGAAAUGAAAAAGAAGAGAUUGAACGGAUGAAGUACUUGGGAGAGGAAAAGGAGUAUGAGGAUUAUCGGUUAUACCAUAGAAAUAAACAGACUAGAAAAGAAAGGGGCUCAUCAGGGCAGGAAGAGAUGAGGCAUUCAAGGGGAAGUGGAAAAAAGAUAGGAGAUGAGAGUCUUGGAGAAACACAAGAGAGAAGGGAAUCAAGCACGAGUAAGGAUCAUGAGGAGUCCCUGCCACAGGUGUACAGACACGGACAGGAAGAAAGAGAAGGUGACUCAUUGGAGGAGCAAGAGUUAAGUGGAGAGAGAGAGGAUACGAGAAUUUUUGGGGAAGAGGUAGGAGGCAGAAGCCUAGAAGAGCAGAAGGAGGCGGUAGGGAAGCGACGUACGGAAGUAGAGAGAGAGCUAGAUAAGUUACUGAGAGGGGAUUGCCAGAGGAGAUGCGAAAAAUACUCCAGAGGCCAACCAAGUAUUGAAUCAGGACAGAAAGGAAGGACUCCACAAGGAGACCGAGGGAAGAAGAGGACCCCCGGAAAAAUUUGUGUGGGAGGCAGUAAAGACAUACCCUGAGACAGAUGGGGAGUCAGGUGAGGAGGAGAGCCAGGGCAGGUGGGAAGAAGGAGGAAGAAUGAUGCCAUUGUUAGUUAAAGGAUGAGGACAAGUGCAGUACAUCCCCUGGGGAUCCCAGGACCUAGAAGGGCUGAAAAACACUUCGCCCAAUCUACAUGAAGGAGCAGGGAAAUGGAUUAGAGCCUUUGAAGAAGAAACAGUGGGACGAUUAUUGGCUAUGGGAGAUUUGAAGGCACUAUUGAUAAGGUUGAUGGGAACCUCCAAAUUUAAUGAACUAAUGGAAAUGGCUGGCAUAGUAAACUCGAACGACCAGAGAACUGAUGGAGACGGGUUUGACAGAGUGAGGCAGAGGGUAUGGUAGGCCCCCAGGAAGCUUUAUCCACCCAAAGUGGACCCCAAAGCCUUAAAGGGGGAUCCACUGGGAGACACUGAAAACCCAGCAACCUACGUAGAAAACCAGUUGAAAAGGUGGAGACUGGAGACUGAGCAAGAGGUGGAAAAUAGCUUAUUUAUCACCACACUGUUCCGACAUAGCAUUUUUGAUGCAAUGCCUCCGCAAGUAAAAUCCAAACUGGAGGAAGUGGUUGGGCUGAUGUCAAUGACCCCACAAGAAUUUAGAGACCACGUAGUCCAUGCGGUUGAGAAGUACCGGAAAGACAAAUGAAGGUUGGCUGAGGUUGGCAGGAAGAGGUGCAAAAGAAAGUUAAUACAAAUGCAGCUCGAAGAACUCAAAAAGAAGGAAAAAGGGAAAAGCAAAAAGAUGCUGCCAGCAACCACCGGUCCAAGUACAGCCAUCAAACUGGAUGAAGCACCACUAUAUGGAGGAACUGAUCAUACUGUAAGACAAGGGCCGGAAAACCCCAUGCCAAUAAUCAAAGUCUUUGGAGGAGCAUUCUCACAAAUGCCCUAUCAGGAACAGACUAAAUUCAAACAGCCCAGACAGGACUGGAAGUCCCAAGGAGGGGGACAGAGGAGCUAUGGGCAGAGGGGACCAGUGAGGAAAUGGGGGGAAAGAGAGGUAGAGAGAUUGUGCUGGGGAUGUAAUCAGCCAGGUCACAUGAGAAGAGAUUGUCCGUUUACACCAUGGCCUGUCACACACCAGCAGGAACCGAUAAGAAGGGAACUAAAGUUUAGCCAAGAACCAGCCCCCACAGGCCCAAGUGGACCUGUGAAUCCCUAUGCGAGGUAUUAGGGUGCCCCGAGAACUCGAGUGGGAAGGGAUAUUACCCAAUGAUAACAAGGGAGGCAGACGAGGAACCCAUUGUUCAGGUUAUGUUAGAAGGGCAACUGACACCAAUGAUGAUGGAUACUGGAGCCACGUACACUUGUGUACAGCCACAGUAUGCCCUUCACCUUCCCUUGUCAGGAAAGUUUAUUAAGACGGUAGGGUUCUCGGGGAAAACACAGUUGACACAGUGCACAGCUCCAGUGCGGUUGAGAAUGGGAAAUAAAGUAAUUGUUUUGCCGGUGCUAGUAUUUAAAGGAACUCCGAUUAAUUUGUUAGGCAGAGAUGCCUUAUUGAAACUGGAAUUAAAAUUAGAAUGCACCAGAAAUGGGCUGAGUGUGGAAAGAGCAGGGGCUCAAUUGAUAGUGCGAGAAGACAAGAAGGCUAAUGUCUUUUGGAUAGGAGACAUCGCAGAUCAGAUUCAGGAAACCUGGGAAAAAUGGAAAAAGGGCGUGCAGGCUUUAUUACCCAGGGCUGUAAUGCCCAAAUCUGAGCUACAUUGUACAGGGAUUUUUGACGAGACUCAGAACAGGGAGUUAGAGGAGAGAUGGCACCUGGAGGCAUGUACCCAACAGCACCUAGAAGGGGAGGCUGUGAUAAUUGGAAAGCAAGGGGCAGCUUUACAAGUUAAGUGGAACACCUUUUUAGAAAAAUGGUACAGGAUACAGGCUGUUCCCCACGUAACAUUGUUGGUAAAUAAGGGAUAUCAGUCCAAAGACUUAGGACCCUUAGUUAAGAGUGCUGAAACUGUAACAGUGUGGAGGAAAAUCACGCCAGAGGUGUGGAUAUCGGAAGACAACAAUUGCAUUAAAAUAGUGGUAAGUGUAGAUAUGGUAGGGACAGUGAGAGAGGUCGAAAUAACUCCCCAAACACACAUGCCAUUGCUGGGAAAGGAAAGAAGCCAGCAGAAAGAUAGAAGGUUAGAUGAGUAGCCAUCUAUUCUGUGGUCACAGCAUGACACGGACGGAGGGAAAAUAAAAACAGCUAGUCUGGUGGAAAUAAGGCUGAAAAGGGGAGCAAUUCCACCCAGGAGACCACAAUACCCUCUAAGACCAGAAGCAGAAGAGGGAAUAGCAUCGACAGUACAGGGCUUGCUUGAAAUAGGAGUGCUUAAAAGAACAAACUGUCCAUGCAAUACACCGUUGCUGCCGAUCUUAAAAGCAGAUAAAUCCAAGUGGAGAUUGGUGCAUGAUUUGCGAGCGAUAAAUGAUGUGGUAGAGGACUGGCCAGCGGUAGUCCCCAACCCACACACGCUUUUGACUAUUGUUCCACCAGACGCAAGUUACUUUUCAGUGAAUGAUCUGUGUUCGGCUUUCUUCAGCAUUCCUCUAGCCGACCAGUGUCAGUAUCUGUUUGCAUUUACUUACAGAGAUGCUCAGUAUACCUAUACCAGAAUGCCGCAAGGGUUUAAACAUUCACCACACGUUUUUAAUCAGGUGUUGAAGGCAGACUUAGAGGGCAUACCAUUGGAAAGUACAUUGUUACAGUAUGUGGAUGACCUACUGAUUUGCUCCCACAGCAAGGAACAGUGUGAUCAGGACACUAUAACUCUGUUAGAGAAGCUGGCGCAUGGAGGACAUAAAGUAUCCAAAAAGAAACUGCAAUUUUGCACGCAGCAAGUGGAAUACUUAGGCAGGGUAAUAUCCAAGGGAGUGAAGGUGAUAGCACCAGAUCAGAUUGAGGCAAUAAGUAAGGCCCCAAAACCCCAGACUGUAGGGCAGAUGAUGACGUUUUUGGGAAUGGCAGGGUACAGCUCAGAUUGGAUAGGAGAAUAUGCUGAGAUUGUGGCACCUUUGAGAAAGAUAAUGAAAGAAGCAGGACAUACAAAUUUGAAGAACAGCUUACAGUGGAAUGGAGAGGCGGAGAUAACUUUCAAUACUAUUAAGCAGGAAUUGCAGUCAGCACCAGCAUUAGCUUUGCCUGACUACGAGAAGGUUUUUCAUUUGUAUGUAUCCAACUGACAGGAGGGUUAUGUCACAGCGGUUCUAACACAAGAGACAGGCACAGGAAAAGCAAAGCAGCCGAUAGCAUACUACAGUAAGAGACUAGAUGAGGUGGCUUAGGGGUAUCCACCCUUUUAUCAGGGAUUGGCGGCGCUGUACUCUGCAUAUGAAAAGGCAUCAUCUGUAACCCUGGGCUAUCCUGUGACUCUGUACACACACCACAAAGUAGCAGAAUUGCUGGAAAGAGGGAAAUUUGUGCUGACGCCAGCGAGGAUAGCAGUGUAUCAGAUGCUAGUGACAUUUCCUGACAUAACUAUACAGAGAUGCACUACCAGUAAUAUAGCCGAUUUUGUCCCUUUGGGCUAUGAAGGAGAACCCCAUGAUUGUGUAGGGAAGACGAUGACAUUUGCCAAAUUGAGAGCAGAUUUACGGUCAGAACCACUAGAGGAUGCAGAUAAAAAGGUUCUGUUCGUAGAUGGCUCUUGUUACAGGGAUUAUGAUGGAAAUCAUGCAGGGUUCUCAGUAGUGCAGCAGGAUCAGUCGAGCUAUAAGAUUAUUAGGAUGGAGUCCUGUCCCCAACUGUGUUCUGCCCAACUAGCAGAAAUCAAAGCCCUGACAGCUGCAUGUGAAAUGAUGGAAGGGGAGAAAGUAGACAUCUAUACUGAUUCGGCAUAUGCUCAUGGAGUAUGCAAUUUGUUCGCAAUGUGGAAGCAGAGAGGUUUUUAAAAAAGUAAUGGAGAUCCCAUACAACAUUGUCAGCAAAUUCUAGACUUAAUAAAAGCCAUAUUGAAACCUAAAGCAUUGGCUAUAGUAAAAUGUCAGGCAUAUAAAAAGGGAAAUGAUGUAAUAACAAAGAGAAAUCAAGCUUCGGACGAGGCAGCCAGAAAAGCGUCUGGGUGUACGUCAGCUGUCAUUGCCCCCCAGGCAAGCCUAACUCCAGAACCUGAGGUAGAGGACCUAAUUGAAAUACAAGGUAAGGCAACUUUGGCAGAACAGACAAUGUGGAGACGAAGGGGGGCCAAGCAGAACCUGGAAGGCUUAUGGAGCAUGGAAGACGGUUUGUUGGUAGCGCCCACCCCUCUACUGACGAUUCUGAUUUCAGAAGCGCAUGGGAUUGACCAUUGUGCAAGGGGGGAAGUGAUAAAGAAAAUAAGGAAGGAUGGUUUUUGGUCACCUUAUUUACAUGCUUCAGUGGACUUUGUCUUGUCACAGUGCGAGGUAUGCGCACAGAAUGCAGGGUCCGGACAUCAGUUCUUUGACUGGUUAGAAAGUAGACUCGGAGGAUGGGGAGCAUGGCUGAAUAAAAUAGCAAUAACUGUCAGUAUUGUAUUGUUGAGCUGUGCGCUUGUGCUGUGCUGUUUUCUUCCUUGUCUCAAGUCUCUUGUAGUGCGUGCUGCAACCAAACAAUUUCCAAUGCUCGUGGCAAUUACUGAAGCAAGCUUAGUGGAGAAAGAAACACCGAAAAUGUAUCGUUACAGCCUAUAACACCUGCAGGAUGAACAAGAGCAAAACGACAGUGUGGAAGUAGAUUAUCACAAGAUUACAGGAGACGUGACCCUUCAUCCAGCUAUUCUCAUCCAUAUGGCCAGCAGUGAUAUUUGAGUACUUUCACAGCAACUGAAAGAUAUCAAGCCAAUACAAAUAUGAAAACAGUGUUCUAAAAUUUAAGGAAUGGUCAGAAGUUUAGUAGCCUAACUGAAGUCUGAGUGAGAGAGUUUACCCUGUUACUUACUUUUGGAAUGCAGUGCCAACAAACGGUUUUGAUUUGGAUCUCUCUUCUAGUUGGAUAACAAUAGUUUAGAUUCAUCUGUGUAGAUACACACAGCAGAAAACGUUCAUUAUAGCUGAAAAGCAAAAGUGAAAAACAAAUCAGUAAAAUAAUU